GAAGUAAAAGUCGUAACAAGGUCUCCGUUGGUGAACCAGCGGAGGGAUCAU
rnacentral:rRNA from 2 species